CGGGGGGAGCAAGCGUUGUUCGGAUUUACUGGGCGUAAAGGGCGCGUAGGCGGCCACCGCAAGUCGACUGUGAAAUCUCCGGGCUUAACCCGGAAAGGUCAGCCGAUACUGCGGGGCUAGAGUGCAGAAGGGGCAACUGGAAUUCUCGGUGUAGCGGUGAAAUGCGUAGAUAUCGAGAGGAACACCUGCGGCGAAGGCGGGUUGCUGGGCUGGCACUGACGCUGAUGCGCGAAUGCUAGGGGAGCGAACGGGAUUAGAUACCCCGGUAGUCCUAGCCUUAAACGAUGAAUGCUUGGUGUCUGGGGUUUUAUAGUCCCCGGGUGCCGUCGCUAACGCUUUAAGCAUUCCGCCUGGGGAGUACGGUCGCAAGACUG
rnacentral:rRNA from 1 species